GUCAAACUUUACAUUAAAUGCAUGAAGUACGUGGCUCUAAUUGAAGGAAAAUAAUAAUUCUGGCGUGAGAUGAAAGCUAAGCCAAUUCAGUAUAAAUAGAAAAGAAGGUUCAGCUUUCAAAUCCACUCCUUCUUCCUGCCUUCUCUCAAAGGCACAACCCAAUUUUCUUUAAAGUUAUUCACCCCUAAAUUCUACAAAGCCCUGCCUCAUUUUAAGUAUGGUAGCCCCUGACUACUGAUACCCUGUCCAAGUGACGUAGGGCCCCGUAACGUAUGUCAAGGCUUUGCCUAAAUUCGUUGGGGUUCUGUCUCGUGACGUAGGGAUAAAGUAGAAUUGGGUUACUAUACUUGAUGUGGGUACACUAUAUAUUUUAUUAAAUAAUCCAGGAGUUGUACCCAAAAUAUAACAAACCUCCCGAAUAUUUUUCUGACACCCUACACUUCCUAAAAUACACCACAUAUGUGAAAACCGAGCCCGAAAUAUAAUAUAGCAUUAAAAAUAAGUGAAAAACAAGAAAUAGUAAGUUGAGGCGGGCCGCGUAGACCCACCCCAACCAUUCACGCGGGCCGUAUGAAGGUGUAACCGGAUUCCUUUGAUUUCUUAAGUCCAGGCGGGCCGCGUAAGGCCACACCGUUAGUUUACGCGGGCCGCGAGUGUCCCGAUUCGUGGCGCAGCCCGGUGAUGACACGUGUCAUCAUCGUGGCAGGUCUAGAGGAUGAGCCGGACAAGCUAGUCCGUUGACCAGGGUUGACGCGGGCCGCGUGACCCCUGUCCUUUCUUUACGCGGGCCGCGUGGGAACCAGAAUCAGCACCUAUAUAAGCAGGCAUCGGGUUUUAGUAUUCCUCGUUCAUUUCUUUUCUUUCUAAACGAAUUCUGAAGUAGUAGAAGUGAUACGCGGGUAUUAUACCCCCUAAUUAGCGAAGCUCUGCCUCGUUACUAUAACCAAGGAAUCACAAAGGAAAGCCUUAUAAUAGCAAUGUAACUUAGUGUAAAGCCAAUAGAAGCCAGCUGGAGAGCACUGAAGGCUUGGAAAAGUGGCAAUAAAGUUACCUAAAAUAAAAUAGAUGUUUUUAUUAAAUAAAAUAGGAUUUAUUCCUAUGAAAAUGUAUGUACUGAAAAACUUGGGUUUUAUCCCAUGUGUUUAAUAUAAUGAAAAGAAGGUGGUUUUACUCUGAUAAAAUAUUUCCUAACUACGGUCCUGAUGAAAAAUUCCGCUGCCAAAUAGACAAUACGCGAUACCACCGAAACUGGCUCACGGCCGCCCGCUCCUGAGGGAUCGGGGGUUGUGAAAGAAGGUGGUAUCAGAGCUAUGCCACUGGUUCAAGCCAAAGAAGUGUUCUGCUGACACUUAAGUUUUAAAUUCUGUGUUAGGAAAUUAAUAUAACAAUUUAUGUGUUAUUCUGUGUAGAUGAAUCUUAAUAUUUAUAUUAUGGUUUUUAUGUUUUGAGUUCAGAGUAUAAGUAACCAAUAUGACUAGACGUACCCAUAGGCUACCUCGGCAGAUGUAUUAUACAACACUCUUAUACAAUUAGUAACUUAAGGUAUCACCUUGAGUGAGAUCUCUUCUUAAAUAAAUGAAUGUACCGUAAUAUAUAUACAUAUAUAUAUAUAUAUAUGUGUGUGUGUGUAUAUACUACUAUGUGUAUAUCAACCUUACUAGGAAAUAUUAAUACACGUUCAUUUUGUAAAAAAUAUUCAUAGAUCAUGGGUAUAAAUUUUAGAUAUUAAAUCUAAAAUCAUAAUUUAUGGUAAAUUUACAUAAGAAAUUGAAUAAUAUUAUGUAUCCACCUUAAAUAAAAGUAUGUUAUUUUAAGUUGAUUCAUAGACUUCAUGAUCUAUACCAUGAUCUAUCCUUAUGAAUGGCGGUAUAGAUUAUGUAUAGUAUACUUCUAAUAAACAUACGUUAUAAUGCACUAUAAAAAAAAGGGUCUGAUGGUUUGUACAAUCGGUAUAAAAGAAAGUUAAUAGUUAGUGUUUUUAAGAAGUAAAAAUAAAGAAAAUAAAGAAAUCACAACCAAAGAAAGUGAUAAUAAAUGCACAAACUCAGGAAACAGACAAUAACCUAUCAUGGGAAGAUAAACAAUGGGUAAAUCUCCAUAUAUUAGCCACUACAGAAGUAAAUAUUAAUUUAUAGUUGAAUCGCAAAACCAGUACCAGCACCCAUGCCACCUAUGAGCCAGAAAUUUUAAAAGAAAUUUUGCCCAUUAAAUAAACAACCUAAAAGAAAAAGAUAGAAUAAAACCAUACAUAAAAGUAUGUUGAGCAUAAUACUCCUAUAACCUAGAUAGACUAAAAUAAGUUAUGAAUGCAUAAUUCCUAGUAUAUUUUGAACCCCAGUUGUAAUUGCAAUAAAUAUACAUAUAUAUAUAUAUAUAAGUCGCAAUGUUCGCCGUUUUUAAUCAAUCUAUUUUUAUGAUGGUACCCAAAUAGUUAUACUAGAAAUUUGUCUGUGAUAAUUAAUACCACCUAAUCAAAUAACAUUAUAAUAUACAUCAAACUAAGUUAGUUGUUAACAAAGCAAUCAUGUUCACGACUUUCUUUUGGAACCAAUCAUUUACUUUGGUUUAAAAUACAUAUUGAAAUAUAUGGUAUAAAGUUUUAAAACUUUGUGGUUUUAAAUAAUAUUGUCUCAAAAUAAAUUAUAUUUAAAUAAAUAAAACCGAAGCUAGUAAAUUAACCGAAAUGAUUUUGAAAAAAAAAAAAAAAAAAGUUUGCUUUAGUGGAUUGAGCCAAAGCAAGUUUUUGAAACCCAUGUGUACCAAUUUUCCACUUUAUUUUAUUCCUUCUGGUUUGUAACCAGUUGACCAUAAGACUUUAUACUUUCAUAAUUUUAUGUUGGGAUUAUUUGUAAAGGUUUCUAUUAAAAUACUUAGCGAUAAAAUAAAUGGUUAAAUGAAUAUGAGGGAUAUUCAUGAUUAAAUAAAAUCAUUUAAAUUUUUUUGAUUUGGGUUGAUUAGACUACGUAGAAAUGUCUAACUAAACAUUAAAAGCAUUUCUACAAAUCUUUAAGGUAUGUCCAGAAUAUGUCUUAUGCAUGGAAAUAAUUGAUAUAAGACUAACCCGUCAUAUUAGUUAUAUAAUUGUGUAUCCUA
rnacentral:lncRNA from 1 species